rnacentral:tRNA from 1 species
CAGAGUGUAGCUUAACACAAAGCUUCUCGCUUACACCGAGGCAAUGCCUGAUAACCCCAGGUCACUCUGA